UGCUCUUGCUCGCUCGGAGCUGUAAUGCAUAGCAAAUGUGAUCUCUCUCCUUUGUUGAGCCCUCUCACUGGACCAGCCAUGAUUCCAGGACCCUUACAAGCACUGACUCCUUUAAUAUUCAAAACCACCCCAUGAGACAGGGGUCUCUGUGUAAUAGCUCUGGCUGUCCUGGAACUAGUCUUUAAAGGAAUGAUUCCCAACUGUUUAUAUGAAUUAGCAAAAGGAAAAGCAAUAAUGAAUUGGGCGAUCUGUCUAUGACCCCAGAUGGACGGACAAACACCAGUGGGAAAGGAGGGCAAGACAGUGCAGAGGUUCCUCCAUUUGUAUUCUGUCUGAGGCCAUUUGAGGUUCAACUAGAAGCUGAUCUCCUUGAUGGGGAGUCCCGUGGAAAAUUACCCAGCUCUGUCCUAGGAACCCAAGAGAUGAGCAGAACAGGAGCCAGAAUGAAGCCAAGGAAUAUCACAAAGUCACUGUCCUGCAAAAUCCCAUUAAAAUCUGCAAGUCACCACUUCUGGAUCCUCCCUGAAUCCGUAUGCAUUGAUACACAAUUACUUCAUUAACAGUAUUACCAGUUGAACCAGUCUUAGGGAUUUUGAUCAGGUACGCACAGAAUGAGGCAACUUACUGUGAUAAAAUGAUGUGAUGAGCUCUCCAUAGCCCUCUUGGUGAGCAAAUGCGUACCCGGAUCUUCUGGAGCUGGACCUGCGGACCUGAGGCCUUUGGCUUCGUAUGGGCCUUUCCUUUCUCUGAGCUUUCUGCCACCUGCGG